rnacentral:hammerhead_ribozyme from 1 species
CACUGGCUGACGAGUCCCAAAUAGGACGAAAUGUGCAUCCUAUAG